CAGUAGCCGCGGUAACACGAGGGGGGCAAGCGUUGUUCGGAAUUAUUGGGCGUAAAGGGUGCGUAGGCGGUUCAGCAAGUCUCGUGUGAAAUCUUCGGGCUCAACCCGAAGUCUGCACGGGAAACUACUGGGCUUGAGUAUGGGAGAGGUGAGUGGAAUUUCCGGUGUAGCGGUGAAAUGCGUAGAUAUCGGAAGGAACACCUGUGGCGAAAGCGGCUCACUGGACCAUUACUGACGCUGAGGCGCGAAAGCUAGGGGAGCAAACAGGAUUAGAUACCCCGGUAGUCCCUGUCUCUUAUAC
rnacentral:rRNA from 1 species